rnacentral:lncRNA from 1 species
UAAAUUAUAUACCUAAUAUAUACUUAAGUUCCUGUAUGAUUUUAUGCUGAUUUUCCUGCUAUUAAACAUAGAUAUAUCAACAUGGUAGGUUAGAAUAAACAGCUCUGUGUUUUCAUAGCAGAUGAAUUUGACUGGGUUGAAUACUAAAUAGUGAAACCUUUAUAGUCCUUGCUACUGUUGUAAGCUUUACUCUCUAUUAUUUCAUAUUCAGUUUAUUAUUGUUCAAUAUUUUGGCAAACUGACCAACAGCUACUUUUAUUUUAUGCAAUUCAUUGAAACCUUGUCUUUCUGCUUCCUUUGUCUUCAUAUUUUCAAUUUAUGUGUGUGUAGGUAUCAUUGUAUACAUUAUUGUAUGUAAGUAUGUUUUCAUAUCUGUGUGUGUGUUUGUAUCAUUGCCUGUCAUUAUAUAUUUGUCAUUGUAUGCUAGUGUGUAUAUGUCUUAUUCUAUGUAAGUGCGCCUGUAUUAUUGUAUGUGUGUAUAGAUUAUCAGAUGUAAGCGUGUAUACAUUAUUGCAUGCCAUAGUGUGUAUAUUAUUGUAUGCAAGGGUAUAUGUAUUAGUAUAUGUAAGUGUAUAUACAUCAUUGUAUGUAAGUGUACAUACAUUAUCGUACAUAAGUGUGUGUAUUUAUAUUUGUGUAUAUAUAUAUAUAUAUAUAUAUAUAUAUAUAUAUAUUGUAAAUAUCUAUGUAUUAUUAUACGCACCUGUGUGUAUGUAGUUGUAUAUAAGUAUAUGUAUGCAAGUAAUGUACAUAUUAUUUUGUGCGUCAUUAGUAUAUUAUAAUUUGUCUUCUCUUCUUAAUGUAUAAUUAUAUUUGUUGUUUUGUAGUCUAGAGUAAUGUAAGUUGUUAUUAUAUUUGCUAUUUGUCAUAUAUAUAUGCAUGUCUUCACGCAGUUGUGAUUUUUAAUCAGUAUAUGUUCGUGGGUUUGCAACUUCUUAGUUGUAAAUCUUUUAAUCUAUAUUAAUUACAUUAACUUUAAUGAAAGCCAUUUGAUAGUAGAAUGUCAAAGAUAACUUUAACGUUAAUUACUAAGGCAUAUGUAAUAAAAUGAUUGAAUUGUUCAAUACUUCUUUCAUUUUAUUUUUGUCCUUUGUUUUAACUUUUUUUUUUUUAAAGUUGUAAAUACAAAUAAAGUUAGAUUAGAAACUUUCAGAUAAAUGUAUGUUAAUAUAAUUUCAACACUUAUAUAGUGAGAUAUCAUUUCCUAGGAGAAGCUAUUGGUUACGUUAUUAGGUUUAUGCAUGAAAGUUUAUAACAAACUGAUCUCUCUACAUGAUCAUCUGCAACAAACUGAUGUAAUGAAAUUAGAACAUAAUAGGAACUUCAGAUCACACACAUAGACAUCACAUUUGUAAGGCAUAUUACUUUCAGAACACAUUCAAGAAUGCAUGUGUGUGUGUGUGUGUGUGUGUGUGUGUGUGUGUGUACGUAAAUAUAUGAAAGAAAUAAUUUUCUUUUGAAACCAAUCUGAUAAACAUUCAACAUAUUGUCAAAACUAUUGAACAACAAUCUGAACAAUCUGAAAAGAUUUUUCCAUAUUUUUAUGAUAAAUUAUAAUUUGAUUUUUGUAGAGAAUGUGAACGUGACAUUGUUGUUUUCUAAAGUAAUUCAAGAAUGGUAAAACAUUUGGAAUUUGAUUGUAAGGCUUUCAGAACUGAUUUUUCUGAUAACAUGUAAGAGAAACCUUAUCAAUAGUAUUAUGUAAGUUGAUCUGUCUAUCAAUACAGACGAGAUAAAACAUAUUCAACCACUGCAAUUCAAAUUAGGUAUUACUACUACUACUACUACUACUAUUAUUAUUAUUAUCAUUAUUAUUAUCAUCAUGAUCAUCAUCAUACUCAUCUAGGAAAUUGACAAGUGAACAAAUUUUAGACUUACCAUUUUUUUUUUUUUGUAAUAAUUCCACCUAACAUUGAAAAUGUCUGUUUUUCUCUUCAAUAAAUGUGCCUUUAAAAGACAUUGCAAGUAGUGGCUUGCUUAUUCAUGGUGCAACCAUACUUGUAUAUAAAUUGGUACAGCAAAACAAUCCUUGCUCAACUAUUCUUCAUUUCGACCUAAUAAUUUUCUGGAUUAAAUCAGAUAGACAGUUCAUCUCUUAUGUCCUCCUUUCUAUGCUUCUCUUUUCAGGAUUGCAUUUUUACUUUUUUAAUGAUUCUAUUGACGUUAUCUUUGUUUGAUGGCUACUUAGUGAGCACACUCAGGUCCUUGCACUCUUUUCUAAUGUUUAGCCACGAUCAGUUGAUCAACCCCUGUUUAACCUGCUUGGUUGGCAUUUUCAACAGCUGGAUGUGAUAAAAAAAAUAUUUAAAACUUUAAUAUAAAAAAAAGACAAAAAAAAACUAAGCACUGCUUACUUUUACCUUAACAGUACCCAUUACCCAGGACUAUUGUACUUAUAUCUACCUGCACCCUUAUUUUCUCUUAUGUAAAAAUAUAUCUGUAGUUUGGUAUUACGUUGCAAUGUCAGUAAUAAAAAUUUAUUUUUGAAGACCCU